CGUGGGGAACCUGCCCCAUAGUCUGGGAUACCACUUGGAAACAGGUGCUAAUACCGGAUAAGAAAGCAGAUCGCAUGAUCAGCUUUUAAAAGGCGGCGUAAGCUGUCGCUAUGGGAUGGCCCCGCGGUGCAUUAGCUAGUUGGUAAGGUAAAGGCUUACCAAGGCGAUGAUGCAUAGCCGAGUUGAGAGACUGAUCGGCCACAUUGGGACUGAGACACGGCCCAAACUCCUACGGGAGGCAGCAGAC
rnacentral:rRNA from 1 species